GAGUUUGAUCAUGGCUCAGGACGAACGCUGGCGGCGUGCCUAACACAUGCAAGUCGAACGUGAAACCAGCCUUUGAUUCCUUCGGGAUGAUAAGGCCGGUAGAAAGUGGCGAACGGGUGAGUAACGCGUGGGUAAUCUACCCUGUAAGUGGGGGAUAACCCUCCGAAAGGAGGGCUAAUACCGCAUAACAUCUUCCCUUCAUAAGAAGGAGAGAUUAAAGAUGGCCUCUUUAUAUGCUAUCACUUCAGGAUGAGUCCGCGUCCUAUUAGUUAGUUGGUAGGGUAAUGGCCUACCAAGACCACAAUGGGUAGCCGGUCUGAGAGGAUGUACGGCCACACUGGGACUGAGAUGCGGCCCAGACUCCUACGGGAGGCAGC
rnacentral:rRNA from 1 species